rnacentral:rRNA from 1 species
AUUGAACGCUGGCGGCAGGCCUAACACAUGCAAGUCGAGCGGAUGAAGGGAGCUUGCUCCUGGAUUCAGCGGCGGACGGGUGAGUAAUGCCUAGGAAUCUGCCUGGUAGUGGGGGAUAACGUCCGGAAACGGGCGCUAAUACCGAAUACGUACUGAGGGAGAAAGUGGGGGAUCUUCGGACCUCAGGCUAUCAGAUGAGCCUAGGUCGGAUUAGCUAGUUGGUGGGGUAAAGGCCUACCAAGGCGACGAUCCGUAACUGGUCUGAGAGGAUGAUCAGUCACACUGGAACUGAGACACGGUCCAGACUCCUACGGGAGGCAGCAGUGGGGAAUAUUGGACAAUGGGCGAAAGCCUGAUCCAGCCAUGCCGCGUGUGUGAAGAAGGUCUUCGGAUUGUAAAGCACUUUAAGUUGGGAGGAAGGGCAGUAAGUUAAUACCUUGCUGUUUUGACGUUACCAACAGAAUAAGCACCGGCUAACUUCGUG